rnacentral:lncRNA from 1 species
AUGGGCCCAGGUCGUGCUGAGCCUGUGCCAGUGAGGUGGAUGUUGUGUUCACUAUACCGUGGUUGCAACCAAGAAGCAGAAAUCCAUCAGCCCAAGAAAAAAGAGCAGCAGAAAGACAGACACACAGAUUUACAGCCCCUCUAUUUGGAAGCCUUCAGUGCCACCGUAGAAGACCCCAUAACACACCAUCAAUCACCCCAUCUAUAAUCUAACAAACAAAAAUGGAAGAACAUCGGACCUCAGCAACUCCACACGUCAUCAGCAAGAACUACUCUACGCGCACAGCCAGUCUCCAUCCCAGGUCAGAACAAAUGAUGAGGCUUCUACGUGGAUGGAGCCAAAAGUCUAGUUGUCUGAUGGCCAACCGUCAAACAGAGCAACGUGUGGAUAUGCUCUUGAGCUAACUGUUGAUAGUAUUGAUGAACUGGAGGACUUAAUGAGACCAGCCGAUUAACUCGUUGCUAAUCAAUUUCAUGAAUUACAUUUUUUAUGGUGACUCAAGAGUGCGCCCCAGUGGAAACACAAAGGAUCACAGCUUCAACGUGGACAAAUAAAGUGGAAAUGGAUGUUUCACAAAAAAGAGAGACAUUGACUUUUAUUACACUUAUCUAUUCAUGGGGAUUGUGUUAUAAUGUGUGACAAUUGAAUGUAUGUAAUGCAACCUUACUGUAUGUAAUGUGUCUAUUUUGAAAAAUGCAGAAUUAGUCUUUGCAGUUGCUCACUCAGUGGCAUAAAGCUGGAAAAUGUAUGUAUUGUAUCAUACUGUAAAAAUAACAAAGGACUGAAAAGGGCAUGUGUUCCUCCAAAAAGAGAAAAUUACAACCAUACUGUUCCAAUAAAGAGCCGCUUAAAUAAAUAAUAUAGUAUAGACUGCCAUUUCGGAGGUAAUACAGAUGGGCUGUUGUUAAGUAUGGAUAGGGAUUAUUAUGUGGGAUGAUACAGAAAACACUGUGUGAGUGUAAAGGAAUACAUGUACAAUGGAAACAAUUCAUCACAGCUGUCAGCACACAUCGCCUCAAACUAUUGCCACAUUAACACUUAACCUUCUCCAUUCUCCGAGCUAUUUCCUUUGAGGACUGACACAGAAGGGUAUGUAAUAUCUAUCUGCAUGCCAG